UUGCGGCCAUAUCAUGUCGAAAUACCGGUUCCCGUACAAUCAGCGACGUUAAGCAGCGUCGAGCCUGCUCAGUACAUAGAUGGGUUACACUUUGUGAAUAAUAGGUGCUGUAA